ACUUUAAGAUGUUCUUUGUGCAUGUUUUUGUUUGUUGCGGUUGCACCCGAGUCAAGAGCCGCAUGGCUCACAGGGCUAUACCGAAUAAAUGAAACUAAAACGGAAAAGUACUCGCGAACAAGACUCGCUCCAACAGUCUGUUAAGGCUAUACGGGGCACCCUCAGACCUUAAUGCAUAUAUAUAAACCCUAUGAUAUGUAGAAGCUAUUCAGCGCUUCCCGUUAAUUAAACCAUAUAAACAAACAAAAAAUGUUCCAUUGCUUUACAGGGGGUGGGAACAGUGGUGAGUGCACUGCACUGAAUCCAGCGGCCGCAGUUUUGUUCCAGGCCUCAUGUUCUUCUGUACUAUGGACAGAGCAGGACGACUUCUGCAGAGAUGGAGCCAUGAGAUCAGCUUGUGUUGCAGGCGCGAGAGAUUGAAUGUGAGAAUGGCGACAAUGUGAGGAGGCUCUGGUUGAGCAAUCUCGGCUAACAUCAGUGGCAAAGGAGAGAGCGCGUCCGAGAGAAUGACCACCGCAGAGAUGGAGCAAUGGAGAUCAGCCCGCGUGCAAGAGUGAGAUGGGUUGCGAGAAAGGCAACAACAUUAAGAAAGCUUUGGUUGAGAAGUGAAUAGUGCAUGGCUGUUGAUGAUGACGGCAACGCCAGUGAUUGACUUGCAACAAUGACAACAUUCAAUGCUGUGUUGACUUUUGCUUUGGAACCAAUUCAUUGUUGCAAAAGGGGUCAUGCGUCUCAGUGGCUUCUCAUACACUUCAUGAAUAUAUAGUACUGUACCGUUUUCAUUGUCGACUAUCAUAGAAAAGUGCACUCGCGUACACACGUGUGCACCGUAGUAAAAUAAAUUGUUCAUUUCUUCUGGCUUGAAGGCCAAGCUAAAACCCGACCAGAGCAACAAUGCGAUCUUACAAUUCAGCGGCACACUUGACUGCCCGUUAGCAGCACCAGCAGCUCUUUAGCUAAUUGCUCUGCGUAGCAGAGCGUCAUUACCAUGGCCAUGACGUGCGUACCCACGUCUUUCACUACUUUUUUUUCAACAUAGUGCCAAGUUCCUGCGAGACCGCUAUAUGACGCGAGCAAAUAAAACACCCAGUAUAAUAUCAACCGCAAAAAGUGGGUGCCAAAUGCUGGCUGGUCAAGCAGCUGUAAACGCAGCAGGCAUAACUCAUACCUUUUUGUUGCGUCGAUACAUUUUGCGGCAUUCAAUUUACGGCCGCGUAUUCUCUCGGUGUUGGGCGUGAUUAAGCCGCGCUUAAAUCUACCCUUUCUGUAAAUAACCACAAGCGAGAAGUUAUAAUCCCAGCUCCGUUUAUUGCGGCGAUAUAUACGUGGCCAUCGUAAAUCAGCCACGGGGCGCGGGCGGGUGACCGCCGCGGAUCGCGCGGGAGCGCGGCCUCAGCCGUCGCGCCGCCAGCCCGUGGCUCGCACGCUCCAUGCUCGCGCACGCUCCAUGCUCGCACGGCGGAGGAGCCGGGGAUCGUGCGUGGAGCGGCGAGCGUGCGACGCCGUUGCGCACAUCCGCUCGGUCGCCCUCAGCAUCCUUCGCUGUGCUCCGUUGCGACGAAUAAAAAUAAACAUGCCAACGGUAUCCAAUUGGGGGCAUGCUGCCGUGGUGUAACGAGUAAGCACGCUGGACUUGCGAUCCAGAGGUCGCCAGGUUUGGUUUGACCCCCCGGCGGGGCAGAUGAAACAAUGGUACGAGGUUACUUCAAUCACCCCUUCACCCUCCUCUGUUUAUCCGCAGUAUAAACAGGUUCACCGCAGUUAGUCGAUUGGUAGUUUGAGGAUGGUUGGUUAGAGUGUGGAUCUGCUCACCUCUUCCAAAACGUGUGGUAAGCGUGGAAGAGUAGGCCAAAUAUUCUCCAGAGAAGCUCCCUUGACCUCCCUCUAGUGGAGGCCCUCCAACCCUCCAGAGAGGUUAUCGAGAGCUCCUUCUAUUGGAGGUGCUUGCAAGUAUAUGCAGGGGUACAUCUUUGCAUUUCCCACCUAUAUCCACUACCUAAACCUGUCGGUGAUGAAGCUACUGACUAAAGGGGGAAUUGUCCUUUCUCAACAAAGCCACGUGUUGUAUUAGCAAGCAUACAGGAGUCCAAUACAUAACGUAGCGUGCGGCCAUGUACAAUUAAAAUGGUAAUCGCAGUCGCAUUCCGUUGCUUAGCGACGUGGCCUUGAAGAGCGAGCGUUGAGCCUGUUUGGAGAAUGAGCCUCUUCUACUAUGACACGUACGAU